rnacentral:misc_RNA from 1 species
AACCAUAGAAACCUGCGGAGUACCUGCGGAGGGAUCAUUAGAAGAAGAGGGAUCGAUCCCGACGAACGUGGGGAAUCGAUCCGAAUCCACAUCCACCCCGUGUGCACUCAUCGACCGUUUGCUUUGGCAGGAAAGGAGCCUCCGUUCCGGAGGUGCCGGGAGGACACGCGUGUAAUAUUAUGUACGAUAUUGUAUGCGUAGCCUCGGCCUGCCGGAGUUUUUUUUCCCUCAAACUCGCGC